rnacentral:tRNA from 1 species
UCCCUGGUAGUCCCAGUGGUUAAGACUUUGCACUUCCAAUGCAGGGGCUGUGGGUUUGAUCCCUGGCCAGGGAA